rnacentral:rRNA from 1 species
GGAUCCGAUGCUUUAGUGCUGGUAUGAUCGGCACCUCGUGUUGCAUUCCUUUUUUCAUUAUUAUUUUUGCUGCAGGUGAGAAACAUGAUGCAUGCGGGCGGUAAGUAUUGAAAAAGUUUUUAAUCCGAGUUCGUAUGCAAAAGUAGAUGAUGCACGUGAGAAUUCGGAUGUAACUUUUCGAGUAGAUGAUUUUUCAUAUAAAAAAGUGUUUAAUCCGAGUUCGUAUGCAAAAGUUAAGCCCAUUUUACUAAAUUCCAGAGAGAAUUUGCAAAUAAAGUCAAAAUUCAUAUUUGUAAAUUUUCGAAACAACCAGACCACAUAUCACAUGGGAAACUUAAUUUCUCUUAUUUUUUUGACAUUUCCAUCAUUUUCUUUUGUUUUUCUUAAAACAGAAAAGGCGGUCCACGGGGGGGGGAUGCGUUGUGUAGUAGUGCAGGUUACUGAUGGCGCAUCACCUACAAAUGCGCCAUUACUAGUUUGUAGUGGAGCUGGGAGGGGCGAGUAUAAGGGACGAAGGGAUUAGAAACAUGUCGGAUGCGAUCAUACCAGCACUAAAGCACC